rnacentral:rRNA from 1 species
AUUGAACGCUGGCGGCAUGCCUUACACAUGCAAGUCGAACGGUAACGCGGGGCAACCUGGCGACGAGUGGCGAACGGGUGAGUAAUGCAUCGGAACGUGCCCAGUACUGGGGGAUAGCCCGGAGAAAUUCGGAUUAAUACCCCAUAAAGAUAUGAAGAGGCAUCUUUUUAUAUUUAAAGUUUCGACGGUACGGGAUGGGCAUGCGUAACAUUAGCUAGUUGGUAGGGUAAUGGCCUACCAAGGCAACGAUGUUUAGGGGUCCUGAGAGGGUUAUCCCCCACACUGGUACUGAGACACGGACCAGACUCCUACGGGAGGCAGCAGUAAGGAAUAUUGGUCAAUGGGCGCAAGCCUAAACCAGCCAUGCCGCGUGCAGGAAGACGGCCCUAUGGGUUGUAAACUGCUUUUGUCAGGGAAUAAACCUGUCUACGAGUAGGCAGCUGAAGGUACCUGAAGAAUAAGCAUCGGCUAACUCCGUG